CAGUAGCCGCGGUAAUACGAAGGGUGCAAGCGUUAAUCGGAAUUACUGGGCGUAAAGCGCGCGUAGGCGGUUUUGUAUGUCGAUUGUGAAAGCCCCGGGCUCAACCUGGGAACUGCAGUCGAAACUGCAAGACUUGAAUGUUGGAGAGGUUGGGGGAAUACCUAGUGGAGAAGUGAAAUUCGUAGAGAUUAGGUGGAACACCAGAGGCGAAGGCGCCUGACUGGCCAAACAUUGACGCUAAGGCGCGAAAGCGUGGGUAGCAAACAGGAUUAGAUACCCCUGUAGUCCCUGUCUCUUAUAC
rnacentral:rRNA from 1 species